rnacentral:rRNA from 1 species
GACGAACGCUGGCGGCGUGCCUAAUACAUGCAAGUAGAACGCUGAAGAGAGGAGCUUGCUCUUCUUGGAUGAGUUGCGAACGGGUGAGUAACGCGUAGGUAACCUGCCUUGUAGCGGGGGAUAACUAUUGGAAACGAUAGCUAAUACCGCAUAACAAUGGAUGACACAUGUCAUUUAUUUGAAAGGGGCAAUUGCUCCACUACAAGAUGGACCUGCGUUGUAUUAGCUAGUAGGUGAGGUAAUGGCUCACCUAGGCGACGAUACAUAGCCGACCUGAGAGGGUGGUCGGCCACACUGGGACUGGGGCACGGCCCAGACUCCUACGGGAGGCAGCAGUAGGGGAUCUUCGGCAAUGGGGGCAAACCUGACCGAGCAACGCCGCGUGAGUGGAGGAAGUUUUCGGAUCGUAAAGCUCUGUUGUAAGUCAAGGACGGGUGUGAGAGUGGAAAGUUCACGCUGUGACGGUAGCUUACCAGAAAGGGACGGCUAACUACGUG